UACGAAGGGGGCUAGCGUUGCUCGGAAUUACUGGGCGUAAAGGGCGCGUAGGCGGCCUUGUUUGUCAGGCGUGAAAUUCCUGGGCUUAACCUGGGGGCUGCGCUUGAUACGGCGAGGCUUGAGGACGGAAGAGGGUCGUGGAAUUCCCAGUGUAGAGGUGAAAUUCGUAGAUAUUGGGAAGAACACCGGUGGCGAAGGCGGCGACCUGGUCCGUUACUGACGCUGAGGCGCGACAGCGUGGGGAGCAAACAGG
rnacentral:rRNA from 1 species